rnacentral:rRNA from 1 species
GAUGAACGCUGGCGGCGUGCUUAACACAUGCAAGUCGAACGAAGCAUUUAAGACAGAUUACUUCGGUUUGAAGUCUUUUAUGACUGAGUGGCGGACGGGUGAGUAACUCGUGGGUAACCUGCCUCAUACAGGGGGAUAGCAGCUGGAAACGGCUGGUAAUACCGCAUAAGCGCACAGUACCACAUGGUACAGUGGGAAAAGCUCCGGUGGUAUGAGAUGGACCCGCGUCUGAUUAGCUUGUUGGCGGGGUAACGGCACACCAAGGCGACGAGCAGUAGCCGAACUGAGAGGGUGACCGGCCACAUUGGGACUGAGACACGGCCCAGACUCCUACGGGAGGCAGCAGUGGGAAAUAUUGCACAAUGGAGGAAACUCUGAUGCAGCGACGCCGCGUGAGUGAAGAAGUAGUUCGCUAUGUAAAGCUCUAUCAGCAGGGAAGAUAGUGACGGUACCUGACUAAGAAGCUCCGGCUAAAUACGUG